AUGGCGUCGGCCGACGAGGAGAUCGCGGUGAAGGAGCCGCUGGAUCUGAUUAGGCUCAGCCUCGACGAGCGCAUCUACGUCAAGCUCCGGUCCGACCGCGAGCUCCGCGGCAAGCUCCAUGCAUAUGAUCAGCACUUGAACAUGAUCCUUGGAGAUGUUGAGGAGAUUGUAACAACUGUUGAGAUCGACGAUGAAACAUAUGAGGAAAUUGUGCGAACAACCAGGCGUACCAUCCCCUUCCUAUUUGUCCGAGGUGAUGGUGUCAUAUUGGUCUCUCCGCCUCUGCGAACGGCGUGA
rnacentral:rRNA from 1 species